rnacentral:lncRNA from 1 species
GGAAUCAUCAACAUCAGACAUCCGCAGAAUCGCGAUUCAAGAGGUAUUUUUUAUGUUUCAUCGUGAAAAAGUUAAUCCUUACAUAAUCAAGAAAGUUAGCAUAAUGAUUUGCACCAGAAGCGAUAAUUCUUUUUUCAUCUUUUAACCAUAACAAUAUCGUACUUCUUUUUCAUGGAAUAAGGUUCAAAUGAGAACCGUUGCUUAAUUAGCAACCACUUUACAGCCCUUCGUAAUAUUUUCAUGGUUGACAUCUUCCUCACUUAUGUCUUUUGUAAUCUAUGAAUCGUGACCAGGUGAUCAAAGGCUAAGAAGUGACUUCAAAGUUGUUGAGUAAAGGGGA